rnacentral:rRNA from 1 species
GCGUUACUCGGAUUUAUUGGGCGUAAAGCGCAUGUAGGCGGUUUUAUAAGUCUGAUGUGAAAUCCCUGGACUCAAUUCAGGAACUGCAUUGGAUACUGUAAGACUAGAGUAUGAGAGCGGUAGGCGGAAUUCUUGGUGUAGAGGUGAAAUUCGUAGAUAUCAAGAGGAACAACAGAAGCGAAGGCGGCUUACUGGAUCAUUACUGACGCUGAGAUGCGACAGUGUG